rnacentral:rRNA from 1 species
UACGGAGGGUGCGAGCGUUGUCCGGAAUCACUGGGCGUAAAGGGCGCGUAGGUGGCGUGAUAAGGGUGUGGUGAAAGCCCGGGGCUCAACCCCGGGGUCUGCCAUGCCGACUGUCAGGCUAGAGUACUGUAGGGGCAGGCGGAAUUCCGGGUGUAGCGGUGGAAUGCGUAGAGAUCCGGAGGAAGACCGGUGGCGAAGGCGGCCUGCUGGGCAGUUGCUGACACUGAGGCGCGACAGCGUGGGGAGCAAACAGG